rnacentral:rRNA from 1 species
UACGAAGGGGGCUAGCGUUGUUCGGAUUUACUGGGCGUAAAGCGCACGUAGGCGGAUGGUUAAGUCAGGGGUGAAAUCCCAGAGCUCAACUCUGGAACUGCCUUUGAUACCGGCCAUCUUGAGUCCGGAAGAGGUGAGUGGAACUCCUAGUGUAGAGGUGGAAUUCGUAGAUAUUAGGAAGAACACCAGUGGCGAAGGCGGCUCACUGGUCCGGUACUGACGCUGAGGUGCGAAAGCGUGGGGAGCAAACAGG